rnacentral:rRNA from 1 species
GUCGAACGGCAGCGAGGAGAAGCUUGCUUCUCUGUCGGCGAGUGGCGAACGGGUGAGUAUAGCAUCGGAACGUGCCAAGUAGUGGGGGAUAACCAAACGAAAGUUUGGCUAAUACCGCGUAAGCUCCAAGGAGGAAAGUAGGGGACCUAAAUAAGGCCUUACGCUAUUUGAUCGGCCGAUGUCGGAUUAGCUAGUUGGUGGGGUAAUGGCUCACCAAGGCAAUGAUCCGUAGCGGGUCUGAGAGGACGAUCCGCCACACUGGGACUGAGACACGGCCCAGACUCCUACGGGAGGCAGCAGUGGGGAAUUUUGGACAAUGGGGGAAACCCUGAUCCAGCCAUGCCGCGUGUAUGAAGAAGGCCUUAGGGUUGUAAAGUACUUUUGUUAGGGAAGAAAAGCUAGUUUUUAAUAAAAAUUAGUGAUGACGGUACCUAAAGAAUAAGCACCGGCUAACUACGUGCCAGCAGCCGCGGUAAUACGUAGGGUGCAAGCGUUAAUCGGAAUUAUUGGGCGUAAAGCGAGUGCAGACGGUUACUUAAGCCAGAUGUGAAAUCCCCAAGCUUAACUUGGGACGUGCAUUUGGAACUGGGUGACUAGAGUGUGUCAGAGGGAGGUAGAAUUCCACAUGUAGCGGUGGAAUGCGUAGAGAUGUGGAGGAAUACCGAUGGCGAAGGCAGCCCCCUGGGAUAACACUGACGUUGAGGCUCGAAAGCGUGGGGAGCAAACAGGAUUAG